rnacentral:rRNA from 1 species
CGCGAAGAACCUUACCUGGUCUUGACAUCCGCGGAACUGCCCAGAGAUGGGCGGGUGCCUUCGGGAGCCGCGAGACAGGUGCUGCAUGGCUGUYGUCAGCUCGUGUCGUGAGAUGUUGGGUUAAGUCCCGCAACGAGCGCAACCCUUGUCYUUAGUUGCCAGCACGUAAUGGUGGGAACUCUAAGGAGACYGCCGGUGACAAACCGGAGGAAGGUGGGGAUGACGUCAAGUCAUCAUGGCCCUUACGWCCAGGGCUACACACGUACUACAAUGGUGGGGKCAGAGGGCUGCGAACCCGCGAGGGGGAGCCAAUCCCAGAAACCCCAUCUCAGUCCGGAUUSGAGUCUGCAACUCGACUCCAUGAAGUCGGAA